rnacentral:rRNA from 1 species
GUCCACGCCGUAAACGAUAAUCACUAGAUGUUGGUUCGGCUUAGCUGGAUCAGUGUCGUAGCUAACGCGUUAAGUGAUUCGCCUGGGGAGUAUGGUCGCAAGGCUAAAACUUAAAGAAUUGACGGGGGUCCGCACAAGCGGUGGAACAUGUGGUUUAAUUCGACACUACGCGAGAAACCUUACCUGGGCUUGACAUGUACUCGACAGCUGUAGAAAUACGGUCUUUUGGGGCUUCGGUUCAAAACGGGUACACAGGUGCUGCAUGGCUGUCGU